rnacentral:rRNA from 1 species
GACGAACGCUGGCGGCGUGCUUAACACAUGCAAGUCGAGCGGAAAGGCCCUGCUUUUGUGGGGUGCUCGAGUGGCGAACGGGUGAGUAACACGUGAGUAACCUGCCCUUGACUUUGGGAUAACUUCAGGAAACUGGGGCUAAUACCGGAUAGGAGCUCCUGCUGCAUGGUGGGGGUUGGAAAGUUUCGGCGGUUGGGGAUGGACUAGCGGCUUAUCAGCUUGUUGGUGGGGUAGUGGCUUACCAAGGCUUUGACGGGUAGCCGGCCUGAGAGGGUGACCGGCCACAUUGGGACUGAGAUACGGCCCAGACUCCUACGGGAGGCAGCAGUGGGGAAUAUUGCACAAUGGGCGGAAGCCUGAUGCAGCAACGCCGCGUGCGGGAUGACGGCCUUCGGGUUGUAAACCGCUUUCGCCUGUGACGAAGCGUGAGUGACGGUAAUGGGUAAAGAAGCACCGGCUAACUACGUG